UGCUGCUGCUGUGCGUCACCUUCUUCCAGAAACCACCUACAUAUAGCCUAAAAAGAGAUUAACACUUGCUAUAAACCAAGAGCCAGAAAAAAACGACAUUUCAAAUGGAGAAUCUUGCUCAAGCUCUGAAGAAGAUAUUUCUCAAUUUACUGGAAUCCAUGAAAGGCCACAAAAAUUCAUCUACUGAUGCAGAAAAAGGAAAAAAAGCAGCUAAGUCGGAAUCCGUAGAGAAAUUUAAUGUACAAGAGAGAGCAGUGAAGGUGGUAAAGGGUCCAAAACGCCCAACUCCGCCCAAGGGUCCUCCUGCUCAGACUGCUUGAGGCUGCUACUGGUUUUGUUUCUUUCCCCCCUUUUUUUAUGCUUCUGGGUUGCUUCUUUUUAACUCCACUCAUUUUGUAGUGUUGUACUAUUUUGUGUUUUGCUUGUUUUGCUUUUCUUCCUCUGAUGUAGACAAAUUAUUUUGUUGUUUUCAAAAACUUCAAUUGUUGUCUUGUGGUUGUAGUGAUUAUCACUGAUCGCCAAGCUCAUGAGUUUUUCGUUAGUA